ACGCGUGGGUAACCUGCCAUAUACAGGGGGAUAACACUUAGAAAUAGGUGCUAAUACCGCAUAAGCGUACAGGAGCGCAUGCCCCGGUGCGAAAAGGGAGCAAUCCCGGUAUAUGAUGGACCCGCGUCUGAUUAGCUGGUUGGCGGGGUAACGGCCCACCAAGGCGACGAUCAGUAGCCGGCCUGAGAGGGUGAACGGCCACAUUGGGACUGAGACACGGCCCAAACUCCUACGGGAGGCAGCAGUGGGGAAUAUUGCACAAUGGGGGAAACCCUGAUGCAGCGACGCCGCGUGAGUGAAGAAGUAUUUCGGUAUGUAAAGCUCUAUCAGUAGGGAAGAUAAUGACGGUACCU
rnacentral:rRNA from 1 species